UGGGGAAUAUUGCACAAUGGGCGCAAGCCUGAUGCAGCAAUGCCGCGUGAGUGAAGACGGCCUUAGGGUUGUAAAACUCUUUCGCUAGGGAAGAUAAUGACGGUACCUAGUAAAGAAGUCCCGGCUAACUCCGUGCCAGCAGCCGCGGUAAUACGGAGGGGACUAGCGUUGUUCGGAAUUACUGGGCGUAAAGAGUUCGUAGGCGGACUAGCAAGUUAGAGGUGAAAUCCCAGGGCUCAACCCCGGAACUGCCUCCAAAACUAUUGGUCUAGAGUUCGAGAGAGGUGAGUGGAAUUCCAAGUGUAGAGGUGAAAUUCGUAGAUAUUUGGAGGAACACCAGUGGCGAAGGCGGCUCACUGGCUCGAUACUGACGCUGAGGUGCGAAAGUGUGGGGAGCAAA
rnacentral:rRNA from 1 species